UUCAUUGCCUCAAUAAGUUGCCUCUAUAACCAAAUUUUAUUGUAGUGGAGGAAGGGAGUAUUAAUCGACGAAAUGCUUCGGGGAGUUGAAAAUAAGCAGAGAUCUGGAGAUUUCCGAAUAGGUCAACCUUUCGAACUUCUGCUGAAUCCAUGGGCAGGAAAGAUACAACCUGGCGAACUCAAACAUCGUAGUAGCUAGAGGAAAAGAAAGCAAAAGCGAUUCCCGUAGUAGCGGCGAGCGAAAUGGGAGCAACCUAAACCGUGAAAAGGGGGUUGUGGGACACUAAUAGAAGCGACAUGUUGCUAGGCAAAUCUGGGGAGUGCGGGACCCUAUAUGGUGAAAGUCCAGUAGCCGAAAGCAUCACUAGCUUACGCUCUGACCCGAGUAGCAUGGGGCACGUGGAAUCCCGUGUGAAUCAGCAAGGACUACCUUACAAGGCUAAAUACUCCUGGGUGACCAAUAGCGAAGUAGUACCGUGAGGGAAGGGUGAAAAGAACCCCCGUGGAGGAGUGAAAUAGAACAUGAAACCGUCAGCUCUCAAGCAGCGGGAGGGGUGUGCCUCUGACCGCAUGCCUGUUGAAGAAUGAGCAGGCGACUCAUAGGCAGUGGCUUGGUUAAGGGAACCCAGCGGAGCCGUAGCGAAAGAUAGUCUUCAUAGCGCAAUUAUCACUGCUUGUGGACCCGAACCUGGGUGAUCUAUCCGUGACCAGAAUGAAGCUUGGGUGAAACUAAGUGGAGGUCCGAACCGACUAAUGUUGAAGAAUCAGCGGAUGAGUUAUCGUUAGGGGUUAAAUGCCACUCGAACCCAUAGCUAGGUGGUUCUCCCCGAAAUCCAUUGAGGCGCAGUAGUUGACUAGACAUAAAUGGAUAAAGCACUGUUUCGGUGCGGGCCGCGAAAACAAUACCAAAUUGAGGCAAACUCUAAAUACUUGAUAUGACCUCCAAAUAACAGGGGUCGGCUAGUGAGACGAUGGGGGAUAAGCUUCAUCGUCGAG
rnacentral:ncRNA from 1 species